GAUUGUAAACUAAGUAGCACUCACUUUAUUUGAAGUAUACCAAAGUAAGUAUUUUAGGUAUUGUACAUUUCUAAAGGCUGACAUUGGAAUAGGAGACUGGAGGAGUUUGCUAGAAGAUUCCAGACUCUAUCUCGGAUGAAGAAGACAUACUUACUAG